rnacentral:rRNA from 1 species
GUGUCAGCAGCCGCGGUAAUACGAAGGGGGCUAGCGUUGUUCGGAAUCACUGGGCGUAAAGGGCGCGUAGGCGGCGCGACAAGUCAGGCGUGAAAGCCCCGGGCUCAACCCGGGAAUUGCGCUUGAUACUGUCGUGCUUGAGGCCGGGAGAGGAUGGCGGAAUUCCCAGUGUAGAGGUGAAAUUCGUAGAUAUUGGGAAGAACACCGGUGGCGAAGGCGGCCAUCUGGACCGGUUCUGACGCUGAGGCGCGAAAGCGUGGGGAGCAAACAGGAUUAGAAACCCCCGUAGUCC